rnacentral:rRNA from 1 species
UACAGAGGGGGCAAGCGUUAUUCGGAAUUACUGGGCGUAAAGGGCUUGUAGGUGGCCAACUAAGUCAGACGUGAAAUCCCUCGGCUUAACCGGGGAACUGCGUCUGAUACUGGAUGGCUUGAGUGUGGGAGAGGGAUGCGGAAUUCCAGGUGUAGCGGUGAAAUGCGUAGAUAUCUGGAGGAACACCGGUGGCGAAGGCGGCAUCCUGGACCAUUACUGACACUGAAAAGCGAAAGCCAGGGGAGCAAACGGG